GACGGAAGGUGCAAGCGUUGCUCGGAAUCACUGGGCGUAAAGGGUGCGUAGGCGGCUUGGUGGGUCUGGUGUGAAAGCCCCGGGCUCAGCCCGGGAAGGGCACUAGAAACUGCCAAGCUGGAGUGCCGGAGGGGAGAGUGGAAUUCAUGGUGUAGCAGUGAAAUGCGUAGAGAUCAUGAGGAAGACCAGUGGCGAAGGCGGGUCUCUGGACAGUUCCUGACACUGAGGCACGGAAGGCCAGGGGAGCAAACGGG
rnacentral:rRNA from 1 species